rnacentral:rRNA from 1 species
GAUGAACGCUGACAGAAUGCUUAACACAUGCAAGUCUACUUGAAUUUGGGUUUUUUAACUUAGAUUUGGGUGGCGGACGGGUGAGUAACGCGUAAAGAACUUGCCUCACAGCUAGGGACAACAUUUGGAAACGAAUGCUAAUACCUGAUAUUAUGAUUAUAAGGCAUCUUAGAAUUAUGAAAGCUAUAUGCGCUGUGAGAGAGCUUUGCGUCCCAUUAGCUAGUUGGAGAGGUGACGGCUCACCAAGGCGAUGAUGGGUAGCCGGCCUGAGAGGGUGAACGGCCACAAGGGGACUGGGACACGGCCCUUACUCCUACGGGAGGCAGCAGUGGGGAAUAUUGGACAAUGGACCAAGAGUCUGAUCCAGCAAUUCUGUGUGCACGAUGACGUUUUUCGGAAUGUAAAGUGCUUUCAGUUGGGAAGAAAAAAAUGACGGUACCAACAGAAGAAGUGACGGCUAAAUACGUG